CCUACGGGAGGCAGCAGUGGGGGAUAUUGGACAAUGGGGGGGAACCCUGAUCCAGCGACGCCGCGUGAGUGAAGAAGUAUUUCGGUAGGUAAAGCUCUGUCAGCAGGGCAGAAAGCAAUGACGGUACCUGACCAAGAAGCCCCGGCUAACUACGUGCCAGCAGCCGCGGUAAUACGUAGGGGGCAAGCGUUAUCCGGAAUUACGGGGGGGAAAGGGGGCGUAGACGGCUGUGCAAGUCUGGAGUGAAAGGCGGGGGCCCAACCCCCGGACUGCUCUGGAAACUGUAUGGCUGGAGUGCAGGAGAGGUAAGCGGAAUUCCUAGUGUAGCGGUGAAAUGCGUAGAUAUUAGGAGGAACACCAGUGGCGAAGGCGGCUUACUGGACUGUAACUGACGUUGAGGCUCGAAAGCGUGGGGAGCAAACAGGAUUAGAUACCCUAGUAGUC
rnacentral:rRNA from 1 species